rnacentral:tRNA from 1 species
AGGAAUUUAGGUUAACAUCCCAGACCAANAGCCUUC